GACGAACGCUGGCGGCGUGCUUAACACAUGCAAGUCGAACGGUGAAGGGAUCAGCUUGCUGGUUCUGGAUGAGUGGCGAACGGGUGAGUAACACGUGAGUAACCUGCCCCCUUCUUCUGGAUAACCGCAUGAAAGUGUGGCUAAUACGGGAUAUUCUGGGUCUGUCGCAUGAUGGGUCUGGGAAAGAUAUUGUUUCGGUGGGGGAUGGGCUCGCGGCCUAUCAGCUUGUUGGUGGGGUGAUGGUCUACCAAGGCGGUGACGGGUAGCCGGCCUGAGAGGGUGGACGGUCACACUGGGACUGAGACACGGCCCAGACUCCUACGGGAGGCAGCAGUGGGGAAUAUUGCACAAUGGGCGCAAGCCUGAUGCAGCGACGCCGCGUGAGGGAUGGAGGCCUUCGGGUUGUAAACCUCUUUCGCCAGUGAAGCAGGCCUGCUCCUUGUGGGUGGGUUGACGGUAGCUGGAUAAGAAGCGCCGGCUAACUACGUG
rnacentral:rRNA from 1 species